UACAGAGACUGCAAGCGUUAUUCGGAUUCACUGGGCGUAAAGGGUGCGCAGGCGGCCAAGUGUGUUAGGCGUGAAAGCCUGAGGCUUAACCUCAGAAUUGCACCUAAAACUACAUGGCUAGAGCAUUGGAGAGGGUAGCGGAAUUCACGGUGUAGCAGUGAAAUGCGUAGAUAUCGUGAGGAACACCAGAGGCGAAGGCGGCUACCUGGACAAUCGCUGACGCUCAGGCACGGAAGCGUGGGGAGCAAAAGGG
rnacentral:rRNA from 1 species